UACGUAGGGCGCAAGCGUUGUCCGGAAUUAUUGGGCGUAAAGAGCUCGUAGGCGGUUUGUCGCGUCUGCUGUGAAAACUCGAGGCUCAACCUCGGGCUUGCAGUGGGUACGGGCAGACUAGAGUGCGGUAGGGGUGACUGGAAUUCCUGGUGAUAGCGGUGGAAUGCGCAGACUAUCAGGAGGAACACCGAGUGGCGAAGGCAGG
rnacentral:rRNA from 1 species